rnacentral:misc_RNA from 1 species
AUUAUGGAACCCACAGGGUUGGAUUCUUGUUCGCACCAGUGGUUCUCACUUGGCUUUUGUGCAUCAGUGCCAUUGGGAUAUAUAAUAUUGUGCACUGGAAUCCUCAUGUGUAUCAAGCGUUAUCACCGUAUUAUAUGUACAAGUUUUUGAGGAAAACUCAAAGAGGAGGUUGGAUGUCCUUGGGUGGGAUUUUGUUAUGCAUAACAGGCUCUGAAGCUAUGUUUGCUGAUCUGGGGCACUUUUCUCAAUCGUCAAUCAAGAUUGCUUUCACCUCAUUGGUAUAUCCAUCCUUGGUUCUUGCAUAUAUGGGGCAGGNNNNNNNNNNNCUAUUUGUCCAAGCAUCAUGUUGUUGAUAGUGAUUACCGAAUUGGAUUUUAUGUAUCUGUACCAGAUAAGUUGAGAUGGCCAGUUCUUGUCAUAGCC